rnacentral:rRNA from 1 species
AAAUUGAAGAGUUUGAUCAUGGCUCAGAUUGAACGCUGGCGGCAGGCCUAACACAUGCAAGUCGAACGGUAACAGGAAACAGCUUGCUGUUUCGCUGACGAGUGGCGGACGGGUGAGUAAUGUCUGGGAAACUGCCCGAUGGAGGGGGAUAACUACUGGAAACGGUAGCUAAUACCGCAUAACGUCGCAAGACCAAAGAGGGGGACCUUCGGGCCUCUUGCUAUCGGAUGUGCCCAGAUGGGAUUAGCUAGUAGGUGGGGUAACGGCUCACCUAGGCGACGAUCCCUAGCUGGUCUGAGAGGAUGACCAGCCACACUGGAACUGAGACACGGUCCAGACUCCUACGGGAGGCAGCAGUGGGGAAUAUUGCACAAUGGGCGCAAGCCUGAUGCAGCCAUGCCGCGUGUAUGAAGAAGGCCUUCGGGUUGUAAAGUACUUUCAGCGGGGAGGAAGGGAGUAAAGUUAAUACCUUUACUCAUUGACGUUACCCGCAGAAGAAGCACCGGCUAACUCCGUGCCAGCAGCCGCGGUAAUACGGAGGGUGCAAGCGUUAAUCGGAAUUACUGGGCGUAAAGCGCACGCAGGCGGUUUGUUAAGUCAGAUGUGAAAUCCCCGGGCUCAACCUGGGAACUGCAUCUGAUACUGGCAA